UACGUAGGGUGCAAGCGUUAAUCGGAAUUACUGGGCGUAAAGCGUGCGCAGGCGGUGAUGUAAGACAGAUGUGAAAUCCCCGGGCUCAACUUGGGAACUGCAUUUGUGACUGCAUCGCUGGAGUGCGGCAGAGGGGGAUGGAAUUCCGCGUGUAGCAGUGAAAUGCGUAGAUAUGCGGAGGAACACCGAUGGCGAAGGCAAUCCCCUGGGCCUGCACUGACGCUCAUGCACGAAAGCGUGGGGAGCAAACAGG
rnacentral:rRNA from 1 species